UGGGAUAGCCCCCGAAAUAUUGGGACAUAAAAAAAGACAACUCUGUUCCGCAGAGUAGCUGUUGACAUUAUAGUUGCGCAGGCACUUUGUUGACUCUAGAGAACAUCGGGCCAAUCGCACAUCCCCGUGACGGCGACUUUGCAUUCGGAUGUCAUCCAUAUCAACUUUCAAUGCCAGUUUAUGCACCUACCAUGGUGACCACGGGUAACGGGGAAUCAGGGUUCCAUUCCGUACAGUGACCCUGAGAAACGGCUACCACAUGUAAGGAAGGCAUCAGGUGCGCAAAUGACCCACUCCCGACGCGGGAAGGUAGUGA